rnacentral:rRNA from 1 species
AGAGUUUGAUCAUGGCUCAGAAUCAACGCUGGCGGCGCGCCUAACACAUGCAAGUCGAACGAGAAAGUGGAGCAAUCCAUGAGUAAAGUGGCGUACGGGUGAGUAACACGUGGGUAAUCUGCCUCUUAGUGGGGAAUAACGAUGGGAAACCGUCGCUAAUACCGCAUAAGCUCGAGAGAGGAAAGCAGCAAUGCGCUGAGAGAGGAGCCCGCGGCCGAUUAGCUAGUUGGCAGGGUAAAAGCCUACCAAGGCAAAGAUCGGUAGCCGGCCUGAGAGGGCACACGGCCACACUGGCACUGAAACACGGGCCAGACUCCUACGGGAGGCAGCAGUGGGGAAUCUUGCACAAUGGGGGCAACCCUGAUGCAGCGACGCCGCGUGAGCGAUGAAGCCCUUCGGGGUGUAAAGCUCUUUCGGCAGGGAAGAUUAUGACGGUACCUGCAGAAGCAGCUGCGGCUAACUACGUGCCAGCAGCCGCGGUAAUACGUAGGCAGCAAGCGUUGUUCGGAGUUACUGGGCGUAAAGGGUGUGUAGGCGGUUGUUUAAGUUUGGUGUGAAAUCUCCCGGCUCAACUGGGAGGGUGCGCCGAAUACUGAAUGACUCGAGUGCGGGAGAGGUGAGUGGAAUUCCUGGUGUAGCGGUGAAAUGCGUAGAUAUCAGGAGGAACACCGGUGGUGUAGACGGCUCACUGGACCGUAACUGACGCUGAAACACGAAAGCGUGGGUAGCAAACAGGAUUAGAUACCCUAGUAGUCC